AACGCACAUUGCGCUCCUUGGUAUUCCGGGGGGCAUGCCUGUUCGAGCGUCAUUAUAACCCUCAAGCCUAGCUUGGUGUUGGAGCGUGCUAUCUAGCAGCUCUUAAAAUCAGUGGCAGUGCCUUCCGGCUCUAAGCGUAGUAAUUCUUCUCGCUAUGGAAACCGGUUGGUCCGCGCCAGAACCCCCAAUUUUCUAUGGUUGACCUCGGAUCAGGUAGGGAUACCCGCUGAACUUAA
rnacentral:misc_RNA from 1 species